rnacentral:lncRNA from 1 species
NNNNNNNNUGGCUACUCAUCUGUUGAUGGACACUCGGGAUGCUUCCAAAUCUUGGCUGUUGUGAACAGUGCUGCAAUAUCCAUGAGAGUGCAAGUAUCUCUUUGAUAAUACUGAUUUCCUUUCUCUUAGGUAUAUACCCAGCAGUGGGAUUGCUGGAUCAUAUGGUAGCUCUAUUUUUAGUUUUGAGAACCUCCAAACUGUUCUCUAUAGUGGUUGUACUAAAUUACAUUCCCACUAACAGUGUACGAUGGUUACCUCUUCUCUAUAUCCUCACCAGCAUUUGCUAUUGCCUGUCUUUCGAAUAAAAGCCGUUUUAAGUGGGGUGAGAUGAUCCCUCAUUGUAAUUUUGAUUUGCAUUUCUCUGACAAUCAAUAAUGUUGAUGUUGAGUAUCUUUUCAUCUACCUAUUUCCCAUGUGUAUGCCUUUUUUAUUUUUGAAACAGGAUCUCACUUUGUCACUCAGGUUGGAGUGCAGUGGCACAAUCACAGCUCACUACAGCCUCAACCUCCUGGGCUCAGGUAAUUUUUGCACUUAAUUCUCCCAAACAGCUG